AUGUUCUCUUUGCAUGUAUUUUUUUAUCUCACCUUGAAAGGGCUAGUUGUGCCUUAGUGUGCAGUGAAUGAAAUAAAGCAGCAGACUAGUUUGGUCCAUAAGCUUCCUAAAAAGGAUGGAGUUGCUGAUAAAUCUACUACGAAUGCCAAGCUGAAGAUUACAAUUCCUAGGCAGCCUGACCUUGAAACAGCACAUAGGGCACAUAGAAUAAGGUU